rnacentral:snRNA from 1 species
AGCCGGAGGUAGGGUCCA